rnacentral:rRNA from 1 species
GUAGGUGGCGAGCGUUGUCCGGAAUUAUUGGGCGUAAAGCGCGCGCAGGCGGGGUCCUUUAAGUCUGAUGUGAAAAGCCCACGGGCUCAACCGUGGAGGGUCAUUGGAAACUGGGGGACUUGAGUACAGAAGAGGAAAGCGGAAUUCCAAGUGUAGCGGUGAAAUGCGUAGAGAUUUGGAGGAACACCAGUGGCGAAGGCGGCUUUCUGGUCUGUAACUGACGCUGAGGCGCGAAAGCGUGGGGAGCAAACAGGAUUAGAUACCCUGGUAGUCCACGCCGUAAACGAUGAGUGCUAAGUGUUUAGGGGGUUUCCGCCCCUUAGUGCUGCAGCUAACGCAUUAAGCACUCCGCCUGGGGAGUACGGCCGCAAAGGCUG